rnacentral:rRNA from 1 species
AUACGUAGGGGGCAAGCGUUGUCCGGAAUUACUGGGCGUAAAGAGCUCGUAGGCGGCUCAGCAAGUCGGUCGUGAAAGCCCGAGGCUCAACCUCGGAACUGCGGUCGAUACUGCUGUGACUAGAGUCCGGUAGAGGAGAGUGGAAUUCCCGGUGUAGCGGUGGAAUGCGCAGAUAUCGGGAGGAACACCAGUGGCGAAGGCGGCUCUCUGGGCCGGUACUGACGCUGCGGAGCGAAAGCGUGGGGAGCAAACAGGAUUAGAUACCCCAGUAGUCC